AUGGCGAGCGAGCUAGCAAAUCUGAGGCUGUUUGGUUCAGAGCCUCAGCUCGCCACGCCUAAGCCCUUCUCUCUCCUGACCGAUCCAACUGAGAAGGAGCUCGCCGCUACAAUCGACCUUCUCUUCCCUGGAUUUCCUAGUCUAGCAGCUGCUUGGUUUUGCCUCUCUUGCAUCUACGAGAUGCAAGAGCUAUUCACAGGCACUAGUGCUGAUGGUUCUUUGGCCAUGGACCAGCAUACAUGCACAAUUGAUUCUCAUGACUCGGAUAAUGAUGAAGGGUUGUAUGACCUUAAUUGCUACCCACAAUAUGACUAUAUGAGGGCCCUUUUGAGGAGGAUUCUGACACUUUGCCAACAACAUAUGGUCUUAAAAGACCUCCAGUUCAUGUACGUGCUGAUAAUUCCUCAUCUAGCACUAGCCGAGUUGUCACUCCAGCAAUCUCUUGCUGCCCCUGCUCCUCAAAUGCCCCAAGUUAUUGACCCAUAUGCUAGUUUAUGGCACAGGUUGGAGGUACUCCCAAUUACCAUGGAUCAAAGAGUUACUAUUGGUAUGCACUUGUCUAGCAAGAACAAUGAAGGUUUGCGUGGUUGGUUAUGUUGUGCAAGUGACAAAACUUUUGAAACUUGGGUCUGGAAGUUCUUUGACAAAGAUGAUGUUUAG
rnacentral:rRNA from 1 species